GACGAACGCUGGCGGCGUGCUUAACACAUGCAAGUCGAACGGAAAGGCCCGCUUGCGGGUACUCGAGUGGCGAACGGGGGAGUAACACGUGGGCAACCUGCCCUCAGCUCUGGGAUAACUCCGGGAAACCGGUGCUAAUACUGGAUACGCCCGCGCAUCGCAUGGCGUGUGGUGGAAAGCUUUUCGGCUGAGGAUGGGCCCGCGGCCUAUCAGCUUGUUGGUGGGGUAAUGGCCUACCAAGGCGACGACGGGUAGCCGGCCUGGGAGGGCGACCGGCCACACUGGGACUGAGACACGGCCCAGACUCCUACGGGAGGCAGCAGUGGGGAAUAUUGCGCAAUGGGCGAAAGCCUGACGCAGCGACGCCGCGUGAGGGAUGACGGCCUUCGGGUUGUAAACCUCUUUCAGCUCUGACGAAGCGAAAGUGACGGUAGGAGCAGAAGAAGCACCGGCCAACUACGUGCCAGCCGCCGCCGUAA
rnacentral:rRNA from 1 species